CGCAUACUCCCUCCGUCCAAUAAAGGAUGUCUCAAGUUUGUCAAAAUUUGGAUGCAUCUAGACAUAACUUAAUGUAUAGAUGCAUUCAAAUUUAGUAAAAGUUGAGACAUCUUUUGUUGGACGGAGGGAGUAUUUG
rnacentral:pre_miRNA from 1 species